AUCUCUCUGAGAGCCUGAGUUAGGUAACACUCCUGGUCUACCUUGAAACCCUGUAAGGUCCACCUUACAACUACUGACCCUUUUGUGAGUGUAUCACACCUCUUCUGACAGGACAAGAUCCAGUUUCCUUACAUACCAGAAGUCGGCCUAAAUAGUGCCCAAUUUUCUGCAUACCAUGCCCAGAGUGGUGAAGUGUUUGAUCCUCCAAAUCUCUACGGAUGGAAAAGCAAACUGAGAGCAACCUCAUCUGCUCUUGAGAAAGAGAAAGAAAAGACAGGAACUAGUCCAACAGUUGAACUGCACUGAAUAGUUUAAUGCUACCCUUUUAACAGCUGGAAAUUUUUCAUGGAAUUGUUCCAACCACUCCUCAACUUGGGAAAAAAUCAUUCAGGAACCUUCUGCCUUACAAGCAAUUCAUAACCCCUGGCAAAGUUGAAUCUAAAAAAUAUACAACGUGCCUAUGAGUCAUCCUUAAAAUACUUUUCUUCAAUAAGCUUCUGUAAUGGGGAAAAAUUAU
rnacentral:lncRNA from 1 species